AGUGAACGCUGGCGGCAGGCCUAACACAUGCAAGUCGAACGGCAGCACAGCAGUAGCAAUACGGUGGGUGGCGAGUGGCGGACGGGUGAGGAAUGCAUCGGAAUCUGCCCAGUUGUGGGGGAUAACGUAGGGAAACUUACGCUAAUACCGCAUACGACCGAGAGGUGAAAGCGGGGGAUCGCAAGACCUCGAGCGAUUGGCUGAGCCGAUGCCGGAUUAGCUAGUUGGCGGGGUAAAACCCCACCAGGGCGACGAUCCGUAGCCGGUCUGAGAGGAUGAUCGGCCACACUGGAACUGAGAAACGGUCCAGACCCCUCCGGGAGGCAGCAGUGGGGAAUAUUGGACAAUGGGCGCAAGCCUGAUCCAGCCAUGCCGCGUGGGUGAAGAAGGCCUUCGGGUUGUAAAGCCCUUUUGUCCGGAAAGAAAAACUUCGGGUUAAUAACCCGGGGUCAUGACGGUACCGGAAGAAUAAGCACCGGCUAACUUCGUGCCAGCAGCCGCGGUAACAC
rnacentral:rRNA from 1 species